rnacentral:rRNA from 1 species
CACGUAGGGUGCAAGCGUUAAUCGGAAUUACUGGGCGUAAAGCGUGCGCAGGCGGCUUUGCAAGACAGAUGUGAAAUCCCCGGGCUUAACCUGGGAACUGCAUUUGUGACUGCAUGGCUAGAGUGCGGCAGAGGGGGAUGGAAUUCCGCGUGUAGCAGUGAAAUGCGUAGAUAUGCGGAGGAACACCGAUGGCGAAGGCAAUCCCCUGGGCCUGCACUGACGCUCAUGCACGAAAGCGUGGGGAGCAAACAGG